rnacentral:tRNA from 1 species
GUCCCCGUAGUUCAACGGAUAGAACAGUGGACUCCUAAGCCACUGAUGGCCGUUCGAUUCGGCCCGGGGACA